rnacentral:rRNA from 1 species
AUUGAACGCUGGCGGCAUGCUUUACACAUGCAAGUCGAACGGCAGCACGGGAGCAAUCCUGGUGGCGAGUGGCGAACGGGUGAGUAAAGUAUCGGAACGUGCCCAGUCGUGGGGGGUAACGUAGCGAAAGUUACGCUAAUACCGCAUACGAUCUAUGGAUGAAAGCGGGGGAUCGCAAGACCUCGCGCGAUUGGAGCGGCCGAUAUCAGAUUAGGUAGUUGGUGGGGUAAAGGCUCACCGAGCCGACGAUCUGUAGCUGGUCUGAGAGGACGACCAGCCACACUGGGACUGAGACACGGCCCAGACUCCUACGGGAGGCAGCAGUGGGGAAUUUUGGACAAUGGGCGAAAGCCUGAUCCAGCCAUGCCGCGUGCAGGAUGAAGGCCUUCGGGUUGUAAACUGCUUUUGUACGGAACGAAAAGGUUUGGGCUAAUAAGCUGAGCUCAUGACGGUACCGUAAGAAUAAGCACCGGCUAACUACGUGCCAGCCGCCGCCGUAA